rnacentral:rRNA from 1 species
UAAGGAAUAUUGGUCAAUGGACGCAAGUCUGAACCAGCUAUGCCGCGUGAAGGAUUAAGGUCCUCUGGAUUGUAAACUUCUUUUAUCUGGGACGAAAAAAGGUUUUUCUAAGCCUCUUGACGGUACCAGAUGAAUAAGCACCGGCUAACUCCGUGCCAGCAGCCGCGGUAAUACGGAGGGUGCAAGCGUUAUCCGGAUUCACUGGGUUUAAAGGGUGCGUAGGCGGGCAGGUAAGUCAGUGGUGAAAUCCUGGAGCUCAACUCCAGAACUGCCAUUGAUACUAUCUGUCUUGAAUAUUGUGGAGGUAAGCGGAAUAUGUCAUGUAGCGGUGAAGUGCUUAGAUAUGACAUAGAACACCCAUUGCGAAGGCAGCUUACUACGCAUAUAUUGACGCUGAGGCACGAAAGCGUGGGGAUCAAACAGGAUUAGAUACCCUGGUAGUCCACGCCCUAAACGAUGGAUACUCGACAUACGCGAUACACUGUGUGUGUCUGAGCGAAAGCAUUAAGUAUCCCACCUGGGAAGUACGUUCGCAAGAAUG